rnacentral:rRNA from 1 species
UGGGGAAUUUUGCGCAAUGGGCGAAAGCCUGACGCAGUAACGCCGCGUGGAGGAUGAAGGCCUUUGGGUUGUAAACUCCUGACUGGGGGAAAGAUAAUGACGGUACCCCCAAAGAAAGCCCCGGCUAAUUCCGUGCCAGCAGCCGCGGUAAUACGGAAGGGGCGAGCGUUGUUCGGAAUCAUUGGGCGUAAAGGGCGUGUAGGCGGUUUCAUAUGUCCGCUGUGAAACAACACGGCUCAACCGUGUAGAGCGGCGGAAACUGUGAGACUUGAGGCUGGGAGGGGCUGGUGGAAUUCCCUGUGUAGCGGUGAAAUGCGUAGAGAUGGGGGAGAACACUCGUGGCGAAGGCGGCCAGCUGGACCAGUUCUGACGCUAAGACGCGAAAGCGUGGGGAGCAAACAGG